rnacentral:rRNA from 1 species
UGGGUUUAAAGGGUCCGCAGGCGGCCAGAUAAGUCAGUGGUGAAAUUCCGUGGCUCAACCACGGAACUGCCAUUGAUACUGUUUGGCUUGAAUCAGUUCGAGGAUGCCGGAAUGUGUGGUGUAGCGGUGAAAUGCAUAGAUAUGACUUAGAACACCGAUUGCGAAGGCAGCUCACUAAACUACUACUGACGCUGAGGGACGAAAGCGUGGGGAGCGAA